rnacentral:rRNA from 1 species
AACCAGCACCUCAAGUGGUCAGGAUGAUUAUUGGGCCUAAAGCAUCCGUAGCCUGUUUUGUAAGUCUCCGGUUAAAUCCAUCAACUCAAGUGAUGGGCUGCCGAAGAUACUGCAUAACUAGGGAAUGGGAGAGGUAGACGGUACUCGAUAGGAAGGGGUAAAAUCCUUUGAUCUAUUGAUGACCACCUGUGGCGAAGGCAGGUCUCUGGGCCAAUACUGACACUGAGGAGCGAAAGCGUGGGGAGCGAACAGG